rnacentral:rRNA from 1 species
AAUCCUGUAGAGAAACGGGAGUGCUUCGGCCUGGAAACAGGUGCUGCAUGGCUGUCGUCAGCCCGUGUCGUGAGAUGUUGGGUUAAGUCCCGCAACGAGCGCAACCCUUGUCCUUAGUUGCCAGCACGUAAUGGUGGGAACUCUAGGGAGACUGCCGGUGACAAACCGGAGGAAGGUGGGGACGACGUCAAGUCAUCAUGGCCCUUAUGGGCAGGGCUACACACGUGCUACAAUGGCGAAUACAGAGGGUUGCCAACCAGCAAUGGUGAGCUAAUCCCUUAAAGCUCGUCGUAGUCCGGAUCGGAGUCUGCAACUCGACUCCGUGAAGUCGGAAUCGCUAGUAAUCGCGAAUCAGAAUGUCGCGGUGAAUACGUUCCCGGGCCUUGUACACACCG